UGGGGAAUUUUGCACAAUAGGGGAAACCCUGAUGCAGCGACGCCGCGUGAUUUAGAAGGCCUUCGGGUUGUAAAAAUCUUUUGUAUGGGAAGAAAAUGACAGUACCAUACGAAUAAGGACCGGCUAAUUACGUGCCAGCAGCCGCGGUAAUACGUAAGGUCCGAGCGUUGUCCGGAAUCAUUGGGCGUAAAGGGUACGUAGGCGGAUAAGCAAGUUAGAAGUGAAAUCCUAUAGCUCAACUAUAGUAAGCUUUUAAAACUGCUCAUCUUGAGGUAUGGAAGGGAAAGUGGAAUUCCUAGUGUAGCGGUGAAAUGCGCCGAUAUUAGGAGGAAUCCCGGUGGCGAAGGCGACUUUCUGGCCCUCCCCUGCCGCUGUGGUACGACAGCGUUGGUAGCAAACAGG
rnacentral:rRNA from 1 species